UACGGGGGGGGGCAAGCGUUGUUCGGAAUUACUGGGCGUAAAGGGCUCGUAGGCGGCCAACUAAGUCAGACGUGAAAUCCCUCGGCUUAACCGGGGAACUGCGUCUGAUACUGGAUGGCUCGAGUUUGGGAGAGGGAUGCGGAAUUCCAGGUGUAGCGGUGAAAUGCGUAGAUAUCUGGAGGAACACCGGUGGCGAAGGCGGCAUCCUGGGACCAACACUGACGCUGAUGAGCGAAAGCCAGGGGAGCAAACAGG
rnacentral:rRNA from 1 species